rnacentral:lncRNA from 1 species
UUUAAAAUAGGAAAGCUGAAGAAAUUGAUCUCAGGCGUUGAGAUAAAAAGGUGGAGGGCUGAGAUUGAAUUUUGGAGCUUGAUGGACGGAUGAGAUUAAAUGAGGAUUUGAAAGUUUUGAAUCUGAUUUAAAAUUGAUUGAAUUUGGAUGGCUAAAAUUGAAAUAAAAUUGGCUAGAAUUGAAAUGAAAGGGUGGUCAUUAUUGAAAAAUAAUUGGAAUUGAAUAGGC